GUGAGUGUAGCUCAACGGUAGAGCGCCAGACUGUGGAUCUGGAUGUUGGGGGUUCGAGACCCCUCACUCACCCCA
rnacentral:tRNA from 1 species